rnacentral:rRNA from 1 species
AUUGAACGCUGGCGGCAUGCCUUACACAUGCAAGUCGAACGGUAACAGGUCUUCGGAUGCUGACGAGUGGCGAACGGGUGAGUAAUACAUCGGAACGUGCCUAGUAGUGGGGGAUAACUACUCGAAAGAGUGGCUAAUACCGCAUGAGAUCUACGGAUGAAAGCAGGGGAUCGCAAGACCUUGUGCUACUAGAGCGGCCGAUGGCAGAUUAGGGAGUUGGUGGGAUAAAAGCUUACCAAGCCGACGAUCUGUAGCUGGUCUGAGAGGACGAUCAGCCACACUUGGACUGUGACACGGCCCAGACUCCUACGGGAGGCAGCAGUGGGGAAUUUUGGACAAUGGGCGCAAGCCUGAUCCAGCAAUGCCGCGUGCAGGAUGAAGGCCUUCGGGUUGUAAACUGCUUUUGUACGGAACGAAAAGCCCUGGGUUAAUACCCUGGGGUCAUGACGGUACCGUAAGAAUAAGCACCGGCUAACUACGUGCCAGCCGCCGCGGUAACAC